rnacentral:rRNA from 1 species
UACGUAGGGUGCAAGCGUUAAUCGGAAUUACUGGGCGUAAAGCGUGCGCAGGCGGUUUUGUAAGACUGUCGUGAAAUCCCCGGGCUCAACCUGGGAAUGGCGAUGGUGACUGCAAGGCUAGAGUUUGGCAGAGGGGGGUAGAAUUCCACGUGUAGCAGUGAAAUGCGUAGAUAUGUGGAGGAACACCGAUGGCGAAGGCAGCCGCCUGGGUCAAAACUGACGCUCAGGCACGAAAGCGUGGGGAGCAAACAGG